GACGAACGCUGGCGGCGUGCUUAACACAUGCAAGUCGAACGGAAAGGCCCUGCUUUUGUGGGGUGCUCGAGUGGCGAACGGGUGAGUAACACGUGAGUAACCUGCCCUUGACUUUGGGAUAACUUCAGGAAACUGGGGCUAAUACCGGAUAGGAGCUCCUGCUGCAUGGUGGGGGCUGGAAAGUUUCGGCGGUUGGGGAUGGACUCGCGGCUUAUCAGCUUGUUGGUGGGGUAGUGGCUUACCAAGGCUUUGACGGGUAGCCGGCCUGAGAGGGUGACCGGCAACAUUGGGACUGAGAUACGGCCCAGACUCCUACGGGAGGCAGCAGUGGGGAAGAUUGCACAAUGGACGGAAGCCUGAUGCAGCAACGCCGCGUGCGGGAUGACGGCCUUCGGGUUGUAGACCGCUUUCGCCUGUGACGAAGCGUGAGUGACGGUAAUGGGUAAAGAAGCACCGGCUAACUACGUG
rnacentral:rRNA from 1 species